rnacentral:rRNA from 1 species
UAGGUCAGUAUGCCCCGAAUAUCCCGGGCUACACGCGAGCUACAAUGGUUGGUACAAUGGGUAUCUACCCCGAAAGGGGACGGGAAUCUCCUAAACCAAUCUUAGUUCGGAUUGAGGGCUGCAACUCGCCCUCAUGAAGCUGGAAUCCGUAGUAAUCGCGUUUCAACAGAACGCGGUCGAAUACCGUCCUGCGUCCUU